CAUGCAAGUCGAACGGAAACCUUCGGGUUUUAGUGGCGAACGGGUGAGUAACACGUAAGCAACCUGCCCUUAAGACGAGGAUAACAAUUGGAAACAAUUGCUAAGACUGGAUAGGAAAAGUAAAGGCAUCUUUACUUUUUUAAAAGAUCUUCUUUGAAGGUAUGCUUAAGGAGGGGCUUGCGACACAUUAGUUAGUUGGCAGGGUAAAGGCCUACCAAGACUAUGAUGUGUAGCUGGACUGAGAGGUUGAACAGCCACAUUGGGACUGAGACACGGCCCAAACUCCUACGGGAGGCAGCAGUAGGGAAUUUUCGGCAAUGGAGGAAACUCUGACCGAGCAACGCCGCGUGAACGAUGAAGUACCUCGGUAUGUAAAGUUCUUUUAUUAAGGAAGAAAAAAGAGUGGAAAAACUCCCUCGACGGUACUUAAUGAAUAAGCCCCGGCUAAUUAUGUGCCAGCAGCCGCGGUAAUACAUAAGGGGCGAGCGUUAUCCGGAAUUAUUGGGCGUAAAGGGUGCGUAGGCGGUUUAAUAAGUCUAUAGUUUAAUUUCAGUGCUUAACGCUGUUGUGCUAUAGAAACUGUUUUACUAGAAUGAGAUAGAGGCAAGCGGAAUUCCAUGUGUAGCGGUAAAAUGCGUAAAUAUAUGGAGGAACACCAGAGGCGUAGGCGGCUUGCUGGGUCUUUACUGACGCUGAGGCACGAAAGCGUGGGGAGCAAACAGGAUUAGAUACCCUGGUAGUCCACGCCGUAAACGAUGAGUACUAAGUGUCGGGUAAAACUGGUACUGAAGUUAACACAUUAAGUACUCCGCCUGAGUAGUACGUACGCAAGUAUGAAACUUAAAGGAAUUGACGGGACUCCGCACAAGCGGUGGAUCAUGUUGUUUAAUUCGAAGAUACACGAAAAACCUUACCAGGUCUUGACAUUUUCUUGUGAAAUUAUAGAAAUAUAAUGGAGGUUAUCAGGAAAACAGGUGGUGCAUGGUUGUCGUCAGCUCGUGUCGUGAGAUGUUAGGUUAAGUCCUAAAACGAGCGCAACCCUUGUCGUUAAUUGCCAGCAUGUAAUGAUGGGGACUUUAACGAGACUGCCAAUGAAAAAUUGGAGGAAGGUGGGGAUUACGUCAAAUCAUCAUGCCCCUUAUGAUCUGGGCUACAAACGUGAUACAAUGGUUGAUACAAAGAGUAGCUGAAACGCGAGUUCUUAGCCAAUCUCAAAAAAUCAAUCUCAGUUCGGAUUGAAGUCUGCAACUCGACUUCAUGAAGUUGGAAUCGCUAGUAAUCGCGAAUCAGCAUGUCGCGGUGAAUACGUUCUCGGGGUUUGUACACACCGCCCGUCAAACCACGAACGUUGGCAAUGCCCCAAAGCGGUCACCUAACUUCGCAAGAAGAAGGAUCCGUCUAAGGUAGGGUCGAUGAUUGGGGUUAAG
rnacentral:rRNA from 1 species